CAGUUGACACAGGUGACGUACAGAACAAAUUACGAAUGAUAGAUAAAUUAACUGAAAUGUAUUGUUAGAACAAAUCAACCUUAGUAUUCUGUGGUUGUGUGGUUAGAACUAGGACCGUUGAUUUCUUGAGCUGAAGACUGUUUCAAAGCAAUUUUUAUUCCCAUAGCGAUUAAUGCUAUACAAUUUAAUAAUUAUUCUUAAAUGUUUUAUCUUUUAUUACUUUUUAAACAGUCAUUUGGUUGAUAGGGUAGAAUGGAGAACAGGAGCAGAAGAACCCCUCAACAAACUGUUUUUCACGAUGGUUUUAUGUAUUACACAAGCAAGAGGUGUAAUGGAACAAGAUAUCUCAGAUGUACGAAGUACCGACAAACAAGAUGUCAAGCAUCGGGAAAAAUUGAAGAGAGUGGAGUUUUCAUGUUAACAAAUGGACAACACAAUCAUGAAAACUUGGAGGACCAAAUACAAGGCAGGAAUUUUAAGAGCCGUUUGAGGGAUGCAUGUACAAGGGAAAAGGGAAAUCUAAAGAAUAUAUAUGAGAGACUUGCGACAAAUAAUCGAGAAGGUGCCUUAGUAGUCCCUUUCAAGAAAGUCUAUUCCUCUAUGCAGAGAUGGAGACAAUCAACAAGACGAAAAAGUCCUAAAAACUUAGAAGAUUUGGCUAGAGUUCUGGCAGCAGGUGAACAGCCUAUAGCAAAUGCAGUUGGGGUGUAUUUUAUUCAGGUUUGGUAAGGGCUGCUGGACAUUCGGCACUUAUUUUUGGGAAUCAGCAGUUCCUUCAAAACUUUAGAGAGUCACAAUAUACAUUCAUUGAUGGGACUUUCAAGGUUGUAUCAAAAAGACCAGGAUUUUCACAAAUUUUAAUAAUUUUUGCAGUUUGCGUGGAUCAUGCUUUUCCCAUUUUUCACAUUUUUAUGAAAAGGAAAACACGAGCCCUAUAUGAUGCCGUUUUUGCCUACUUAUCCAGAACAUUCAACACAUUCAUAAAUAGGACCAUCUUUACAGACUAUGAAGCAGCUCUUGUCACAUCCUUAAGGGCCUGUUACCCAGAGGCAACAUUGAAGGGAUGCUUUUUCAUUUUCGUCAGACUUUAUUUCAAAAAGCUAAGGCACUGGGGAUUGUACGUGAAAUAAAAGGAAAUGUGGAUGGAACUAAAUUAUUGCGGAAAUACUAUGCAUUAGCACUUUUACCUGCUGGGAUGAUUGAAGAGGCGUUGAAUUCUUUGCAGGGAAACAAUGGAGGACUGGACGAUACAUUUAGGAGGUUUCACAAUUAUGUUAGGAAAUGGAUUCUGCGGGACACACCAGGACAUUUUAGCGUAUUUCGGCACCGAUACAAGACCAAUAAUGUGAUUGAGUCUUACCAUAAGCAACUUAAUAGCAGACUGGUUCGGUAUCCAAGAAUUUGGGACUUGAUAGGUUAAAAUGGAUUAACUAUAGGAAAAAGAGUUAAAUAAAACACUAUCUCUUUCAAUUGUAGAAAAUCUCAUUGAGAUUCAGAAUAUUGCAAUACUUGAAUUGGAACAGUUGGAACGUCAAGAACAAGUUUUUAGGAUUGCAACAAAGAAUAGUGUCUUUAACUCCCGUGUGAAUGAAGCCUGGAACAAUCUAGAGAAUGGUCGCUUCACAAUAGGAGAUUUUCUCAGGCAAGCAGAACACUUUGUCGCCGAUUUCGAUGAAUACCUAGAUGUUCGGCAUGAAAAAGUUUUACCUAUUCCUAGUUCUGAAGCACAACCUUUACUAAUCCAAAAUGAAGCACCUCCACUUAUUUUUUUUCGGCCUCCCAAGGUUACUCCAGUACUUCGAUUAAAUCUUCGUGAAAUGAAACCACCUUCUUUGAUUUUCUUCAAGACUCGUCCAAAACCACCUUUACAUGACUUUUCCCAAAACCCAUCUUCACUUGACGACCCUCUAAAGCCAUCUUUACAUAAUUUUCCCCAAGACCCACUUUUACGUGACGAUCCUCCAAAGCCAUCUUUUUAUCACUUUCCCAGAAGCCCAAUUUCACCUGACGAUCCUCCAAAGCCAUCUUUAUAUCACUUUCCCCAAAUCCCAAUUUCGCCUGAAGACCCUCCAAAGCCAUCUUUAUAUCACUUUCCCCAAAACCCACUUUUACUUGAUGACCCUCCAAAGCCACCUUGACAUAUUUUUCUCCAAAAUAAGGUGGAUUUGACCUGACCAUCCUCCACCCUAACCUAACUUUCCCCGAAACCCACCCAACAUCAUCCUCCAAAGUCACCUACAAACCCAGUUUUUAAAUUUCUGAAGUUUACAUGAUGUUUGCGCAACUGAAGGAAGAAGAGGAUAGGCUGUGUAGAGAAAACAAUACUUCCCUUUUUCGGCGUCGUAAGUAUAUUUCUAGCUGCAAUUAUUUCACUAAUGAUAAUACUUGAUUGUCAACCACAUCAUUAUACUAUAAUGGCACAGCAAUGUCACAACGGGUGAGAUUAAUAUUUGGACACAAGCAAUACAAGGUUUGGUUUAAAAUACAAUUAAAAUGGAACUUCUCACAAUUAAAAUUAUAGAAACAUUUUUAAGAAGACAACUAUAAACACUACCCUUGAACGUUUCAACUUCCCUCAUUUGAACUAUGACUUGGGUUAACAUUCUAGGUGCAUAAACAUAUUUUCUGAAUGCAAGUUAUAGUUGGUUGCAAACAAGUUUGGAUUUUCUAGAUAAAAAAAUAUAAAGGUAAUGUAAAAAUACCUAGCUGAGCAAAGUUAGAUAUAUGAUGUAGCCAUACUGUACAUGUGUAGGAUAAAUUUGGAAGGCCGAAAGAACUAGGUACAAAAGUUUGAAAAACUUCUCUAUUAUGAUAUGAUAAAUGAUAGUUAUGCAACUUCUGAAUCUGAGGAAACCCGAAGGAAAAUAGAUGUAUCCCCCGCAAUUAAGCAAAAACUUGCAGAAAAAGGAUAGCUGCGUAGACACUAUCAACACUCAAGAACUGAAGAUAAUUAGAAAAAACUUAGGAAUGUAACAAAAGACUAACUCGCAACUGUGACAAGAGAUUUGAAAGCUAUUCAAAAGCUCAACUUAAAAUGCCCCAGCAACACAAUCCACCCAUUAAAAAUGACAAUAAGUGGCUAGAAACGAGAAACAAGACACCUAAAAAACGCAUUUAAACCCCUUCCCUUUGAACUAUCAUCUGAAGAAGAAAAAGAAAUAACAGACUUCUUGGACGUGCCUUUUCAGAUAGAACCGCGUUAAGAAAUUUACUGUUAAACAAUAAUGAAAGAAAUUAAUAUUAAAAAAGCAUCGGGAUUCUAUCUAAUCUCUGGCAAAAUUUUUCAAGAACUCUCAGAGAAAUGUUUAGAACUAAUUACAUUCAUGUUCAACGCAAUACUGCGCGAAAAUCACUUUCCUAGUAUCUGAAAAGUAAUCCAAAUCAAGAUUCUUAAGACCAGGAGAAAACAAAAAAUUUCAUCCUAGCGGGCUCUAAUCUUACUACCUAUGCUCUCCAAAGUUUUUGAGGAGUUUGUUAAAAGGCUAAAAAUAAUAAUAAAUGAAAGAAAAAUAAUUCCUGAACAACCAUUUGGACUCCAAAACAAGCACUGUAGAGCCAGUACUGGCUGGCUAACCAAAUAAACAAAGACCUAAAUGCCAAAAGAUAUUGUUCUGGCCUGCGAGUCAAAUUAAAGAAGCUUUUACCACACACCCACUUCCAGCUAUUAAAAUCUUAUUUGUUAACGAGACACUUCCUGGUGCAACAGCAAAUGUAUUGACCUAAAUCCAUACUAUGUGACACAAGAAAGUGGGAAGUGUUGCCACCGAGCUAAUUACAGAACUCAGUAAAGUUUAGGCUCCAGAUGACAUAAACAAACAAACUCUAGAUUUAAGAUUACGAUAAAUUUCUAAUGGAGAUGUUUUUUUUUCCCUUAAGGACAUUCAUAUUGUUAAAAAUUAAAAAUUUGUUCUUUACAGUUUUUCAUUUGCGGAAUACAUUAGAAUAUAUUUUUUUACAUUAGAAGUUCACUGAGCAUAAUAUAUAUUUUAACUUUAUUGGGUGUUGUUUACUUUCAUAAAUAAAUGUAGGAAUAAUUUCUAAAAUGCUAAUGUUUUAAGUGUUUGUUUUAUUUUUAUCACUUGAAAAGUUUUUCACCAGGAAAGAUGAACCGACGCAAAAAAAGACUUUGAUGGAACCACGAGGAGUGGAGCAGUUUGCUGCUCUGCAUUAGGACUCUGAGUCCAGAUGUCAGAUCCACAAUGCUGCAGAUUUUAAAGUAUUUUUGUAUCGCAGUAAGUAAAUUUUUAUGUGAUAGUCUUGUGGCUGUGAAAAAUGUGUCAACUUAUUUGUGAAUUUUUACUGAUCUAUAACUGAAAACAAGUCACUUUUAUGAUGAAGCAUAAAUGGUAAGUAAUUUUUAUUUUUAAUCUGUUCUAUACGUAAUGAACGAGGAGGCAUAGGGAAACAAUUUUAGAUUCUAGACACAAAAAAAAAAUCAAAAAUACUUUAGUAAAAUGGUGCUUUUCAAAGAUUUUGUCAAUGUUGUUGUAAGAGCGUCCAAGGAACACCCUGUUUUUUGUUCAGGGAAGCAGUGGCCUCGGUCGUGAAUGAAAAGUCAUGGAAUUGCCAAACACUUAAAUUUUACUAAUAAAAACAAAUUGUUAUAACGUGAUAUUUCAGGUCACGUGCGUCCUUACGCGGAGAUGUCUGAAUUACUUCUUCUUGCGGUGUGUUAUGUAACACCCAUUCCUACCCGAUCUGCUUCAGCUGCGCGUCCAUACACGGAGCUUUUCAUCAAUAAAGCGAAUUACACGCGUAACUUUGUUUUACGUUCGAACAUGCUGCCCGCGUUUAAAAGUCGACUUUUUAAAAUUAUUAAACAUUAUAUUUGACAUAUAUGUGUUUUCUAUAUGAAAAUUAAAACUAAACAUUUUUGUAAAACAAUUU